rnacentral:rRNA from 1 species
GUAAGGAAUAUUGGUCAAUGGACGAAAGUCUGAACCAGCCAUGCCGCGUGAAGGAUGAAGGCCCUCUGGGUUGUAAACUUCUUUUAUCUGGGACGAAAAAAGGGUAUUCUUACUCACUUGACGGUACCAGAGGAAUAAGCACCGGCUAACUCCGUGCCAGCAGCCGCGGUAAUACGGAGGGUGCAAGCGUUAUCCGGAUUCACUGGGUUUAAAGGGUGCGUAGGUGGGUAUUUAAGUCAGUGGUGAAAUCUCCGAGCUUAACUCGGAAACUGCCAUUGAUACUAUUUACCUUGAAUGCCCUGGAGGUAAGCGGAAUAUGUCAUGUAGCGGUGAAAUGCUUAGAUAUGACAUAGAACACCAAUUGCGAAGGCAGGUGGCUGUACCUUAAUCGACGCUGAUGCACGAAAGCAUGGGGAGCAAACAGGAUUAGAUACCCCGGUAGUCC